GAUGGCGGCAGCUUACACAUGCAGUCGAACGGACCGUAUACGCAGCUUGCUGCGUGUAUGGUUAGUGGCAGACGGGUGAGUAAUGCAUAGGAAUCUACCUAGUAGUAUGGGAUAGCCACUAGAAAUGGUGGGUAAUACUGUAUAAUCCCUGCGGGGGAAAGAUUUAUCGCUAUUAGAUGAGCCUAUGUCAGAUUAGCUAGUUGGUGGGGUAAUGGCCUACCAAGGCGGUGAUCUGUAGCUGGUCUGAGAGGAUGAUCAGCCACACUGGAACUGAGACACGGUCCAGACUCCUACGGGAGGCAGCAGUGGGGAAUAUUGGACAAUGGGCGCAAGCCUGAUCCAGCUAUGCCGCGUGAGUGAGGAAGGCCUUAGGGUUGUAAAACUCUUUCAGUAGGGAAGAUAAUGACGGUACCUACAGAAAAAGUCCCGGGCAAAACUCGAAAA
rnacentral:rRNA from 1 species